GGUCAAGUUAGAAAGAGCAUACGGUGGAUGCCUAGGCACACGGAGGCGAUGAAGGACGUGGUAAGCUGCGAUAAGCCGCGGAGAAGUGCAAACAACUUUAGAUCCGCGGAUUUCCGAAUGGGACAACCUGGCCGGGGUCAUGCCCGGUCAUCAACCGCUGAAUAAAAUAGGCGGCUUGAAGCCAACCCGGAGAAUUGAAACAUCUUAGUACCCGGAGGAAGAGAAAGCAACAGCGAUUCCCCUAGUAGCGGCGAGCGAACAGGGAACAGCCCAAACCUGCAUUAUGUCAAGCCCACUCGCGUUGUAAUGCAGGGGUCGUGGGAACCGAUUGGGGAAGGAAUGGCUUCCCCUGAGAGUUACAAAACCAACUGUUAAUCGAAGUGUCGGUCUUCGGACUUUGGAAAAGCACGCCAUAGAAGGUGAAAGCCCUGUAGAUGAAAACAGAUUGGUCUCUUGUCGGGUUUCCCAAGUACCGCGGGACACGUGAAACCCCGUGGGAAUCUAGGUGGACCAUCACCUAAGGCUAAAUACUCCCGUGUGACCGAUAGCGGACCAGUACCGUGAGGGAAAGGUGAAAAGUACUCCUGACGGAGAGUGAAAUAGUACCUGAAACCGUAUGCUUACAAACGGUCGGAGCUUGAUAGUGUCUCUUCGGAGUCGCUUGAUAGUGACGGCGUACCUUUUGUUUAAUGGGCCAGCGAGUUACUCGUGCGUUGCAAGGUUAAGAGGUUCAGCCUCGUAUCCGUAGCGAAAGCGAGUCUUAAUAGGGCGACUUUAGUAAUGCGCGGUAGACGCGAAACCGGGUGAUCUAUCCAUGGCCAGGUUGAAGCGACGGUAAAACGUCGUGGAGGACCGAACCUGUUGAGGUUGAAAACUCAUUGGAUGAGCUGUGGAUAGGGGUGAAAGGCCAAUCAAACCCGGCGAUAGCUCGUACUCCCCGAAAUGCUUUUAGGAGCAGCCUCGUAUGGACAGGACCGGAGGUAGAGCACUGGAAGGGCUAGGGCCGCUAAAACGGUACCAAACCCUACCAAACUCCGAAUGCCGGAUCCUUAAUGUACGGGAGUGAGACUACGAGGGAUAAGCCCCGUGGUCAAAAGGGGAACAGCCCAGACCAUCGGUUAAGGCCCCGAAAUGUGGCUUAAGUGGCAAAGGAGGUGGGAUCGCCCAGACAACUGGGAGGUUGGCUUAGAAGCAGCCAUCCUUUAAAGAGUGCGUAACAGCUCACCAGUCAAGUAAUCCUGCGCCGAAAAUUUGCGGGACUAAACCACUGCCGAAACCAUGGAUUCAUCCCGAUUCGUCGGGAUGGAUGGUAGGGGAGCAUUCCAUCCCCGUUGAAGGUGUUCCGUGAGGAAUGCUGGAGGAAAUGGAAGAGAGUAUGCUGGCGUGAGUAGCGAUAAAACAGGUGAGAAACCUGUUCACCGAAAAUCUAAGGUUUCCUGAGUAAAGCUAAUCUGCUCAGGGUUAGCCGACCCCUAAGU
rnacentral:rRNA from 1 species